rnacentral:lncRNA from 1 species
UUUUUUUUUCCGUCUGAAUUUGAUUGAUGAAAUUUAAAACAUACAAGAUGAACUUCAACAGCCGGCGGAUACAGAUUACCAUCCCUGGAAACAUAGCCCAUACAAGGGAACCUCGAGCCCAAACAAAAGGCAACACAUACAACCACUUAAAUAAACCUUACAUUCAUAUAUCUGAAUCUGAAGACAAUCUUUGAUAAGGGGAAUAGCAGUAAGUCCAAAAAUCUUUGAACUGCCGGCACUCUUGCCAAGAACCAACCAAGCACAAGAGAGAGUAAGCGACGAAGUGGCCAACACAACAACACAAGACCGAACAUACCUGAACCCACCGUUCAUGGUACCAAGCCAGAACCAAAACGCCUAGCACGAAACUCCAAAAAUAGGAGAGACCGACACCGGAAACUAAAGCCCCCUUCUCCAGCGAAACCUUCAUCGGAAGGCCUAAAACCCCAACCUCCUUAUACUGCUUCAUCAGAAGCCACCGAGGGACGAGCGAAUAAGACGAACAACCGGAACAUACUUAUUAAAAGGUCACGAGAAGGACUCCUUCAAGACUGAGAGAUAGAGAGGUGACGAGAAACUUGAAACUUCUGAAGAAACAAUAGGCUUGUUCUGCUCACCACACACAACCACGCCACCAUCAUACCACCACUUAAACCGUUGCAGAACCCAAACAAAGGACAAACAGUAAAAACCACCAAAGACGCCACAGAUUCACUCUCCCUAGACGGACAAGACAAGCCCGAUAAAGCAGCCGCAUCAACCACCAGUCCAAGCUCUUAAACCUUCAAAAGAUGUAGAUACAACACUGCCUAUGGAGUCAAGUGAACACCAGAGACACUGGGAUGCGCUGAAAUCCCAAGCGGUGUCACCGAGGAAGCCGAAGCUCAGAGACAAAUCGACGCCUCGAACCACCUCGCUACUUGCCGACUCCGAGGACCGGAGCACGGAUAUCUUCACAACGUUAAUAGGACCUUCUGGUGACAACAGAACAUCCCAAACACAAUAGAACCAAGAGCAAAACCCAUUGAUAUAUAACCGGCUGAAAUCAAUGGGGACUGGUGAGGACACCGAGCAGAGGGAACCGCUGAGAGAGAGACUACCAGAGUUGGGUCGGGAUGGCCAUAGACGACCACUCCAAGCCAAAACACUUCCAAUAUCAACACGCCAAGGCCGGAGACACCAACACACAUUGGUAAUCCACCAGCUAAACACACGCCUCCGAGGUUGACUUAUCCUCCGGAGCCCUCAGAACGACAGAACAGAGGACCGGGAAGCUCCAAGACGCCGAGGAACAUCACCAAACCAAAACCCGACGAAACUCCUCACAAAGACCAAACUAUAUAAGAUUUGAAAGACCUUACACCGGAUCUGGGCGCAGAGGUGGAUCUCCCCCGCACGCGCCACCGUCUCGAAGGAGGGCCAAAACAAAAGGGGAAAAACGAGGCCCUCGCGGAAGCUCUAAACGCCGACCCCUAACUUCGCCUCUGUCUCUCCGACCUCGUGGUGACACCAGAGAGCCAAGGUAAACGCCGGAUCUAGCUGCAGUCUGUCGCCGGCGUGUCUUUUCCUCUAGAAUAACCUACAUAUCGGAAGGAGAUAAGGAGAGAGGAGAAGGAGCAAAGGAAAAUGAGAAGAAGGAGAAGAAGGGGAUCCUCCGGCAACGUCUAGAAUGACCGCAAGCGCUGGAGGUUGAAAACAGAUCGAGGAUAAGAGUUUUGUUCGAGAGAGAGAAGAAAGAGAAGAAGGGGAGGCUCACACCAUCCUUGUCUAUAUAUCAGGUUUCUUUAAUCAUUUCUAGACAAUAGGAACUAGUUUGGUGGUUUAUGUACCAAUUAGAUAGGUUUGGCAAUCGUUG